GUGACGCGGGGGGCGCGGCCUGCCCCGGCCGCAGGGAGGGCCGCGCGGAGGGUGGGGGUUGGUCGGGUACCGGGCUCGCACGGGCUGCCCCUUCCCCGUAAGGAGGCUGCUGGGGAAACGAGAAACGAAGCGGUUCGGCCCCCGGCACCCCUUUCCGAAAUAAAGUGCUGGCAUCGCAGUAGCAGUGAUCGCUGCUUGUUCGGGUAACCCGUUCAAAUGAGAAUUAGAAACGGGGCAAUAUUGAUGCAGCUGAAGCCUUUACGAGGAUAUACCGUCAGUUUUAUUCUGUUGUAGGCUUAUGGAAUGUCCAAAACGAGUCCAGAGCUGCCCUGCUCCCCUGGCCACGCUGAGCCCCCCACACCUCUCUGGGGAGGAGAACCCCGAGGCACAUCUCAGUGCCCACAGCCCUGGGUCUGGGCUGGGAUAGCUCUAAGGAUGGAUGCUGUCCUACCUGAGCACUGCCACUGGGAUCCUGGAGGAGGUGUUUCAGGAGCUCUGAGGUACCUGCAGGACAACUACAAUGAAGAAUGGGACUUCUUGGUGAGGAUGGCUGCAGCUGACUGCCCAGCCCUUCAGCGGGGCUGAGGAGCUCCAUCACAAGCCUAUCUGGUUUGGUGCAGCUCUGUGUGGGAGUUCGGUGUGCCAGCAGCUUUCCCUUGGGCCUGGUCCCCCAGCACCUUGCCUCUGCAAAAAUGCCCCUCAGAGUCUGGCUGCAGAGCCAGUUCAUUUAGAUGUCAUUUUUUACCUUAUGUGGAAAAACCUGAUGCUAAGUCAAGGGUCCGCAACAGACCUCCAGUGUGGGUGUUUUAACUGUGGCAGAGUCCAAAGCUUGGGUUUCCCUCCAGUGGGUACCACUGAGCCUGAAAGUGCUGGGAUUUCUCAUCACAAGAGCUUCACCAAGUGUCUACAAGUCCUGCCUGGGCUUUGUCGCAGCUGCACGUGCAGUACCAGCCCCAUGCUGACAGCAAAAGGUGCUUUGUGCUAAGGAAUUUGCUGUGAUAGGUGCUCCCUGGGGACACUGUGGGUGGGCUGGCUGGGCCAGGAACUUCCCAAUAGCCUUAAAGGAAAGUAGCUGUGUAUCUGCAAACUGAGUUAUAGCUGGGGUUUCUGUUCUCAGCAGUAAAAUACUUCUGUGGUCCUGAGAGCUGGACCACAUCUAUCCUAGGCAAAAAUCCUUGCCACCAGUUGGCAGAUCAUACUGGUACCAGUGUGCCUGUGGCUCUUUGCUUCCUGUAGCCCAGUGGCUCAGCGUUUGCAGGGUUCAUCACGCCUCCUGGGAUGGAGCAGAGCACUCAAACUGGCUGCCCUACACACCAUCAACUCUGUCUUUAUAAGCAAGGCAACAAGAGCUGUGAGCCCUGCACAGCACUGGAGAAGCAAGGGCAGCACCAAGGGACGGGAAAGGCCUCAGCAGCCCCGGCACCCUGCUGUUGAUGUGGGAACGUCUGCCAGCCCAAGGCUGUGUCCUCUGCAUCCCUGGUGGUAUUGCUACCACCUCUGUCAAGAAAAAAGUGUUGUCAUAGCUGCAAGCUCUGCUCUCUCCCUCCUCCACACACAAGUGCUGUGAUGCCGAGACCCUGCCAGCAAGUGGAGCUGCCAGGAGAGGCUGCAGAAGGGGGGACAUCACCUCUGAGACCACUGGGGACCACAGCUCCUUCCUUGUGUCAGUGUUUGCAGGGGGAUGGCAGUGGUUGAGUGCUGAGGCUUAGCACUGCAGAGUGCAUCGUGCCUGCUUGCAGCAUCUGUGCCACCUGGAGAGCUGCAGCACUGUUCAAACUUCUAGCAGCAGUCCCCAAACACCCCCUGCUCUCAUGGUGAGCCUGUGCCUCACCGUGCAGGCUGCCUGCCAUCUGGCAUGAGUGGGACCGAGUAGAGUUAAAUAAAUGUUAAAUACACACUA